AAUUCCAUUAGGUGGACCCCUACAUAUUAAAUUAACAAAGAAUUAAUAGAGCACACAUAGGCUGUGCCAAAGGGACCACAAUGAAAAGGAUAAGGGCAAUAAUAGAAAAUGUCUCUAGUCCGUCCCUUAUGAGGCAACAGCUCAAGAAUUAACAGUAGGCUAUAAAUUUUGACAGUAGGCUAUUUUUGGCAACCAUAUAGAAAUAAGUAAUUGGGCGAGUAAAUAAUUACUUUGACACUAGAACCCUGAUCAGUACUUCUCAUAUCCAAAAUAAUAUUUAAAUACAUCUCCCAGUUAUGCUGCUUAUUAUUUCAAGUAUGCACAAAUAAAUAAAAUCCCCUUCUGUUUUAGGCAGAUGCAAAUCCUCCCUUUUUCCCCCCACUUGCUAUCACACAAGAACACGUUUAAUUCAGUAGCAAGUGAGAUGCACAUGAAAUCUAGUGAAGUAUGAAAUUCCUAAUUGAUUAAAAGAGAAGAAGGGAUCAAAAAAGCUCUCAAUGUAUUAUCUUCAAGAUGAAGUGGGAUUAUGCAAUCUACACGUUUAUGUCAAUAUGCAGCCCAAUUGAGAUCACAUAAGCCCACUAAUUAAUCUGCUUUUAGUUUACAACUGAUGAGAACACACAGCACUUCAGAAGUCAUUAUAAACUAAUCAGAAGAAGUGAUU
rnacentral:misc_RNA from 1 species